UAUGUAUUAGUAGUGACAGGAUUUUCUUGAAAUAAAAUCCUAUAUACCUUUUAGAAAGCAAACAAUUUAAGCUUUGAUUUCAAAGUAUAUAAUGAAAAACAGAGAAAAGACACCUUUGACACCUCUAGGUACCCAAAGCUAUUUCUCUCAAAAUUUGUCAAACUGUUUUUCCAAAUUUCCUAGAAUGAAAUGAAACUACUAAUAUUACUUUUAUUCUCGAGUUCGGUUCAAGGACUAAACGCUUUAAAUGAUAGUUGUAUAUCUUGUUCAAUGAUCAAAAACAAUCACGGCCAGCGCACUGGUCACCAGUGUCAUCAUGCAGACCAAUUGACCAUAGCCGGCAAUUCCAAAAUGUUUCAAAAUGAAUUUCCGCAAUGCGUACCAAAUGAGUAUGAGAUAAAUGGAAGAAUCACUGAAUACUGCUGCUUUUGGUCGCCGGAAUUGGGCUGUUCAAUACUUCUUGCUGCAGAAUUGGAUGAUGAUCAUUUUAAGGCCUGCAGUCGGUGUCGUGCGUAUUGCCUUGCGCCAGAUGACCAAGAUGGCAAAGACAAAAUAAAUAAUAAUUCAGGACACUUUAGCGCAAUUGACAUGGCAGUUGUUUUGCCAAUUUUCACUUUAUCAAUUUUUUUCCAAAUGGGAUGUUGCAAUGGACUUUAUUGAAAUGUAAUUAUUUUUGAAUUGUAAUGUAAU